rnacentral:lncRNA from 1 species
UUUAAUACCACAUCCAAGACAGAUUUGUAAUCACACAGGUUCUUAACAGUGCAGAAGAAAUUAAUUAAAGAAAUUUAAAAUCCACUUGGUUAUGAUCCAAAAGUCUUUUGCGUUCCUCUUUCUAUCCAGUUAAACAAUUAGACGCUUACUUACCUGGUCCACAGUGUUAGGUAUGUCCAUGUCAACCAGAAACCUCAUUGUGUGUUCACAAAGACUUCAAGUUUUCUCUUUCUUUUUGUUGAAAUUCACCCUUUGAGAUGCACAAAAAUGGGCAGAGAACAGACACAAAUGAAGUGGAAGAAAAGGAACAAAGCACAUGAAGCUGUGUAGAAGACACAGAUACAGGACUAAAAAGCUGGAAGCAAGAGCUGCAUUCCUCAGUUUACAAAGCACUGCUUGUGAAUGUUGAACAAGGUCCUAAAUAAUAGCAAAAAGAAGUUUGUCCUUAAAAGAAUGAGUCUCCCUUAUCUUGGGCAAACAGAAUGAGUUGGAGUGGUUGGAAAGUUGGAAAGGAGCAACAUUUGGAACCAUGGAUGGACAGGAAUGAGGGAAAUGAGAAAAAAAAAAGGAGAGGCGUAUAUUUACUACACAGAAAUAUCGCCUUCUAAUUAUGCAGUGUUGCAUCCUACACAUAUCCUGAGCUAUUUUCCAGACAGCACUGAGAG